rnacentral:rRNA from 1 species
AUUGAACGCUGGCGGCAGGCCUAACACAUGCAAGUCGAGCGAGCGGCGGACGGGUGAGUAAUGUAUGGGGACUGCCUGAUAGAGGGGGAUAACUACUGGAAACGGUAGCUAAUACCGCAUACUAUCGGAUAACCCAUAGGGGAUUAGCUAGUUGGUGAGGUAAUGGCUCACAAAGGCGACGAUCCCUAGCUGGUCUGAGAGGAUGAUCAGCCACACUGGGACUGAGACACGGCCCAGACUCCGACGGAGGCAGCAGUGGGGAAUAGUGCACAAUGGGCGCAAGCCUGAUGCAGCCAUGCCGCGUGUGUGAAGAAGGCCCUAGGGUUGUAAAGUACUUUCAGUCGGGAGGCGUUACCCGCAGAAGAAGCACCGGCUAACUCCGUGCCAGCAGCCGCGGUAAUUC